UAGUUUGAUCCUGGCUCAGAACGAACGCUGGCGGCAGGCUUAACACAUGCAAGUCGAGCGCCCGCAAGGGGAGCGGCAGACGGGUGAGUAACGCGUGGGAAUCUACCUAGUUCUACGGAACAACUCAGGGAAACUUGAGCUAAUACCGUAUACGCCCUUCGGGGGAAAGAUUUAUCGGAAUUAGAUGAGCCCGCGUUGGAUUAGCUAGUUGGUGAGGUAAUGGCUCACCAAGGCGACGAUCCAUAGCUGGUCUGAGAGGAUGAUCAGCCACACUGGGACUGAGACACGGCCCAGACUCCUACGGGAGGCAGCAGUGGGGAAUAUUGGACAAUGGGCGCAAGCCUGAUCCAGCCAUGCCGCGUGAGUGAUGACGGCCUUAGGGUUGUAAAGCUCUUUCAACGGUGAAGAUAAUGACGGUAACCGUAGAAGAAGCCCCGGCUAACUUCGUG
rnacentral:rRNA from 1 species